rnacentral:rRNA from 1 species
GAUGAACGCUGGCGGUGUGCCUAAUACAUGCAAGUCGUACGCAUUCUCGUUUCUGAUUGACGGUGCUUGCACCUAAUUGACGAGACAUUGGAAUGAGUGGCGGACGGGUGAGUAACACGUGGGUAACCUGCCCAGAAGCGGGGGAUAACAUUUGGAAACAGAUGCUAAUACCGCAUAAAAGUCAAAACCACAUGGUUUUGAUUUAAAAGAUGGCCUUUGUGCUAUCACUUCUGGAUGGACCCGCGGCGUAUUAGCUAGUUGGUAAGGUAAUGGCUUACCAAGCAAUGAUACGUAGCCGAACUGAGAGGUUGAUCGGCCACAAUGGGACUGAGACACGGCCCAUACUCCUACGGGAGGCAGCAGUAGGGAAUCUUCCACAAUGGGCGCAAGCCUGAUGGAGCAACACCGCGUGAGUGAAGAAGGGUUUCGGCUCGUAAAACUCUGUUGUUAAAGAAGAACGUAUCUAAGAGUAACUGCUUAGGUAGUGACGGUAUUUAACCAGAAAGCCACGGCUAACUACGUGCCAGCAGCCGCCGUAA